rnacentral:lncRNA from 1 species
UCUUUAUUUGGCAGGUUUUGAGGCUGGAGGGGAAGGGCCGCCCGGGCGGGAGACCAGGAGAUGGGCGGGUUGGGGCAACUGGGCGAGCCUGUGCCCGGCAGCGGCCCGGCCUAGCCGCGCUCGCAGAUGACCUCGACGACACUGGGUUCCAUGGGCACUGGGUCCGGGCAGCGCAGGGCGGCUGAGGCCACCACUUCAUCCAACAGUAGGUGCACAAGCUCCUCGUCGGCCACGAAGCGCCACAGGUAGAGCUGCAGGAAGUGACAGUCCACCUGCACCUGCUGCAAGCCGAAGCGCCCAAAGGUGCGCAGCCGCACACACUCCAGCAGCGUCUUCAGGCUGAUCUUGAUGAUGCCGGUCAGCACCGAUACCUGCAGGCAAGGAGAGGUGGUUGCUCUGGGACAGCAGGUGUUGGGUAGGGGCACUGGAUCCCGGAGGGCACCCACGUUCUGGGCAGGGGCCAGAGAGACAGUAAGAAGCCAGUAGCUGUGAUGGGGUGUAAAAGUCCCAGGACCCAUCUGAGAGGGAGGGAUGGAUACAAGGUUAGCACCACCAUCCGGAGGGGGAACAGACAGGGAAAACGCAACAGUCAGAAGCAGAGAUGGGAGAAGCGCCUGGUCGGUUGAGUGUCCACCUCUUGGUUUCAGCUCAGGUCAUGAUCUCAUGGUUUGUGAGUUCGAGCCCCGCAUAGGGCUCGGUGCUGACAGUGCAGAGUUUCCUUGGGAUUCUCUCUCUCUCCCCCUCUCUGCCCCCUCCCCCAUUCACUCUCACUCUCAAAAAAAAAAAAAGGCAAGCAGAGAUGGGAGUCAGCACUGACACCAGGAGCGGGAAGGCUUGCUGAAUUAGAGGCAGAAGAACACCAGGUCCCCGAGUGUGGGCUGGGUUGGGGCAGGGCCUAUCGUGUGGACAGGAAUCCCUGAUGAGGACCCAGAACUCCUGUGGCAACAAGGACAAGGAUAAAAGGGGCGUUCCAGAUCAGCAUCGAGACCCAGGCUGGGGGCACCAAGGUCAGGGCAGAGGGCCAUGGGAUAUGGCAAUGGCGGGGCCGUAGAUGACCAUUCACUCCUAGAAACAGCCCAGAGACAGAGCCUGGUGGCCGGGGGCAGGGGAGCGGAGGAGUCCUAGACUCCUUGAGUCAGAUGCUUGAGCCAACCUUCCCGAGGGCCCCUAGAAGGUGGGCUCACAGGGGACUUCAGACCUUGUUGAACUCCACAGGGCUGAACACGUCGAUGCGCUCAGAGAACAGCUUCUGGAUGUUGCUCAAGA